AUUUCCACAAAGAAAAUAUAAAAAAUAUAUUUAUGUUAUGUAGUCUUAUUUUUUAUUCUUUAAAUAAUAUAAUACAAUAUUAUACAUUAUUUUUUAGAAUUAAGAAAUACAUAUAAUAUCUUAUCCGCGCGUAGCGCGGUUAAAAAAUCUAGUAACUAGUAAAGUACCUUUUGUAUAUCUUCUUGUCUUCUUAGUUCUUUUUUUCUUUUCAGAUCUGGUUAUGCUAUUUUUUUUUCCCGACGAUUGAUUUUACAAUCCCUAAAAUCACUAGUCAUCCAAUUCUCAGAAAGUUGCUCAAAGAAGAAGCGAGACAACAGUGAAUUCUGGCAAAAGAGAAUCUCAGAAAGUUGCUCGGAGAAGGAUGUCGAGGAUACGCAACCGGCGUGGGAAAGAGAAGGACGGCGGAGCAGAAACGACGGAGGCUGAGGAUGUUUUGGUGGUGAGAGACGCACUAAACGGAACGUCCGAGAUGUCUACCGGUAAGUGCUUUGAAUUUUUUUGUUUUAUUUGUAUUUUUCUGGAGAAAAAAAAAACAAAUCUUUGUUUACUUGCAGAGCCGCCAGUGGUGGAAGAAUCCAACGAGCGACUACCGCCAGUGGUGGAAGAAUCUCAAGCACCAAUGGUCAAUUUUGACUUUUUUUGCACAUUUAAUCUUUCAGCUUUUGUAUAAUUUUGUUUUGGAGUACACUUUGAUGAUAAUGUACACAUGUACACUCUGAUGGAUACAUUGGUUAAGGUGGACGUAUUAAAAAAAACAAAAUGGCUAGUCAAGAAGAAGAUUGUACAUUCAUAUAUAUCUUGUACACGUACGCACUCUAAUAUAGUUGUCCACAUGAAACUGUGUAUGGUGGAUUUGUAUGGUGGAUAUUUCAAAAAGAUAACAAAUAUGGCUUAACAUAUUUGAUGAUUAUGUACCCAUGUACACUCUGAUACAGUGUGUAAAGUGGACAUAUUUGAAAAAAGAAAAAUACAAGAAUGGCUCAUCAAGAAGAAAAUUGUACACUCAGAUAUAUAUCUUGUACACGUACACAGUCAGAUAUAGUUGUCCACAUAAAAAUAUGUAAGGUGGAUAUUUCAAAAAGAUAACAAAUGUGGCUUUACAAAGAAAUGUAUAAAACAUUUUAAAUGCAUUACAUUUUGAAAUAUUACAAGUAGCUCAACAAUGAACAUAUCUACAUGUACACUUGUUUACCAAUAUCGACAUGUACAUUUUACCAUGGUAUAACAUUCAAUUAGACAUUUACGAAUUUGUAACAUAGAUUUACAAGUUUCAACAUUGUAUGUUUAUAUGGUGAAUAUAUGUUCAAAACAAUUAUGCCACAGGAGAAUUCAAAACAAAGUCUAAAUUAUUUUAAUUAUGUAUCUUUUGAGUCUUUCGAAUAGAGUAGGAGAUGUACAUCAUGUUCAUGCUAAAUUUUGAUUCAUUUGGAUAAAGUAAACAAACUCCAUGGUUACUUGUUUGCAAAUUUAGUCCUUCAGCUUUUGUAUAAUUUUGUUUUGGAUACAUAGUGUACACAUAUACACUUUGAUGGUAAUGUACAUAUGUAUAAUCGGAUGGAUACAUAUUGUGUAAGGUAGACGUAUUUUUUUAAAAAAUACCAGAAUGACUCAUCAAAAAAAAGAUUAUACACUCAGAUAUAUUUUGCACACGUACACAAUCUGAUAUAGUUGUCCACAUGAAAAUAUGUAAGGUGGAUAUUUCAAAAAGAUAACAAAUAUGGCUUUACAAAUGUAGAAAACAUUUUUAAAUGUAUUACAUCUUGAAAUAUUAAAAGUAGCUCCACAAUGAAUAUAUCUACAUGUAUACUUGUUUACCAAUAUCGACAUGUACAUUUUACCAUAGUGCAACAUUCAAUUAGACAUUUACAAAUUUGUAACAUAGAUUUACAAGUUUCAACAUUUUAUAUUCAAAUGGUAAACAUAUAUACACAAAAUUUAUGUCACAAGAGAAUUUUAAAUAAAGUCUAAAUUGUUUUAAUUAUGUAAAAUUUGAUUCUUUCGGAUAAAGUUAGAGACGUACAUCAUGUUCGUGUUAAAUUUUGAUUCAUUCGGAUAAAAUAAAUAAAGUCCAUGUUGCAUUUUUAUUUUUAUGUACAACAUGUUCGUGUACACGAGUAUAUUGAAUAAUCACAUGGAUAUGAUCUUGGCUCGACAUGUCCACGUGUUCCUAUGUUUAAAGGUACAUGUUUUAACGAUGUCCACAUGUACACUGUUGUAAAGACAUUCACGUGUACACAAUAUCUGGGAAUCUGCUCAUGUCGUAAUUAUUUUUGGAAAAGUAUGUUAGUAUACCAAGCAGUCAAAACAAACUUUAUUAAAGCUUGAUUCAAGAUCGAAACUUUACUAGAGGUAUAAAUUCAAAAGAUGUGACAAAUCUAAAGUGUAUCAUCUAUCAUAUAAAAGAGGAGUAACUUGAGUCCAAAAUCGAAACUUUACAAUCACAGACACCAAAAUCUGCAAGUUUGAGAACUCUGUCAUCAACACCAGAGAGGAUCUGAAUCAUCUAUCUCUUAAUCUCCCUUCCACAGAGAAUUCUCCCCUCCACCAGAUAGGAACUGUUAUCUUCUUUUGCUGAAAAGGAGCCACGACAGUGGCUAGAAGCAAUAAUCCAGAGAGUUUAUGGUCGAAGUUUAAGGUUUUUGGAUUUUUCUGGAUAAAAAAAAAAUGAACCGAGACAGAUAAAGAAGAUGAAGUGGGAUUAGAUGAUAAAAUGAAUAUUAGCCAUUAAUAGUAAAAGUACAGCAGUAAAUCCAAGGGUCAGGAAUUAAGACAUAUAUAUGUUUUGUCAAAUGUGUUCAGAUGUAAUCUUGGUCGUCAGAUGGAAAGAAAGAUGUGCGGCUGAGGUAGGUUUCCGCCUAUACUCUAGUUUAGUUAGCCAGAUGCAUAGUUAAUAAUAAACUAGUUUAGUUAAGAAAAAAGAAAGUUGUUAAAAUAAACUGUCUUGGUAGUAGAAACUGCUCUAUUGUGUUAUAAAAAACAUAAAACUGUCUUCUCAAUGUAAUAUUAUCCCUUUACAAUUGCCAUUUUUGGUUUCAAAAAUACUAGUAUUAGAAAUGCCUUAAAGAAUCUUGUAAUUAUAACCUAAAUUAUACUCAGAAAUCAUGAAAAUAAUGUUCAUAGCCCGUAAUAAAAGUCAAAAAUAACUAAAAAGAACAAAAAUUUAUAAGAUCUGGUUAAAAUAUUAAUUCUUUAUUUUGGUUAGAUAGCUUUGAGUAACUAGUCACUACUAGGUAGUAGAAAAGAUGAGCCUUUACAAUGGUUCUUUCUUUAAGUUAUAUAGUUAUACUAGUAUAAAUCUUUUAACUAAUUGCGCCAUCAUCCUCGCUAAUCACUACCCUUGUCUUUUCUAAUUACAAAAAAAUGUACACUUUGUCUGACGUGCGUGCACUAUAAAAUAGACAAAAGUGAUUAACGCAGAUUACAUCAACGGUUCAGAUAAUCUCUUCAAUGCUUAUUGAAUUGUUGGGUGCAUCUGAUGAUCUGAUAAUUUGAGGUGGCAGCAUUUAUUUUCAAUUUUUCAUAGCUACCUAUUUUUGCUUGACAAUUUGGAGAGAAACAUUCAAAUGGACUAAUGACCGAUCCUUAAGAGUCGUACAAUAAUGUUACAAUGAGAUUAAUUAAAACCUGGUCAAUCCAGCUUGUCCUAGUUGGACUGGCCAUAUCCAUAUAUGCAAUAUGUACUUACAUCAGCUAGAUUUUGUGGACCUUUGAUGAUGAAAAGUUUUUUGUGCUUCGUCAUUGCACAGUCAAAGGUUAUUAUUGUUAAGGCAUGUGUUGUUUCAUCAUUUCACGAGUCUGUCUUUUAAGCAUGAGAGCUUCUUAAAAAUUCUCCUAGAUUUAGAUAAUGUUGAGGUAAUUAGGAUCCACCAAAGAUAUGUUUAAGUAGGAAUCGGUCUUAAGUUCUUCCGACUGAUUAAUCUCAAAAGUUACAUUCUGUGAUCAUGAUCUUGAUUGUCUUCAUCAAUAAAUUAGAGUUUUCAAUUCUUGCUAAAUUUAGUUUCCACAAAACUUUAUAAUUUACAUAUUAAAAAAAACAUGUUUUGAUAUAUUUUCCGAAUCACAAGUAGCAGCAAUCAUAAUAUUUAUUCAUUCUGAACAAAGAAGGAAAAAUCCAAAAGGUUUUCUUAACCAAAAAUAAAAAAUGGAGCCUAUAAGUCUAAAGGCUUCGCAUAAGCCAUGGUUGCUUGUACUGGGCCGGCUUUAGCAAUUACAUACUAUACGUUUAUUUUGUUGGACGCAAGCCACACAACAAAGAGUCUUGAAAAAGAGUUUAUUUUGCUUCAAUUUCUUAUGGAACGUAUUCGCAAGGAUUUGGGCCGGUUGGCCCAAGGUAGACUUGUUUAACCAACUAAUAUCGACUUUAACUGGUAUAGCCGUGACGAUAAAUUAGGAAAUAAAUCGGUCAUUCUAUCGAAAAAGUUUGACUGGUAACCAUCGUAGGAAUAAUAGAAGCUUUACUUAUAUCACCUACUGAAACUUUGUUCCUCUGAUGUUUGAAUUAAACAGUGUUAAAAAAAAAUAGAAACAAAAAAAUGAGUAUAAAUAAAAU